UGCAGCCACGGCGGAAGUGCAGCCGUGGCCCCGGUAGCCGUAGCAACCACAAAGCCCGUGGUGACGGUGCCCUCUGUGGGCGGCCCCAGGCGAUGCCCCUCGGAGGAGCCCUGUGGUGGUGAAACGGGGAGGGGGGUCCCUGGCCACGUAGUGGGGCGUCCGGGCUCCGGCCACCUACCCGGCGUGUUGCGGUAGGACUCCGGCGUCCGGGAGAACAGGGGCGAUCCCCUCACCCCCCCCAUUUACCUGGUGAAGGCUUCGAAAGAACCCAGGCGUCCGGGAGGCUGAGAGGAGAGAACAGAAGGGGGAAAUUCCGCAGCUUACCGAGCUCUGCAAGGGUCUAAGAUCGCAACCGUGAGAAAGAAAGAAAAGAAAAAGAUUCUGCUGGGGAACAAAGGGGCCACUGAAGGACGACACAGAAAGAAUCGACAGUGACUAAAGGCUCACACGAAAGGAGGAGUUUCCACCCUCCUCCUGGCUCCUUUUCUGGGGAUCUCGGCUUCCCUGCCUCCAUCCUUUCCUGGCUCCCCAGGGCUCGGUCGUUCUCUUCUCCAUCUGCACCUUCUCCCUCCCACAAACCCGGGUCCAACUCCCACCUCCACUCCCGGAUCGACCUCGACAAGGUAAAAUCCAGCAAGUAGCUCCUCGCCUGCCCCGCCCAGCUUGCCUGUCACCGACGU